AUUGAACGCUGGCGGCAUGCCUUACACAUGCAAGUCGAACGGUAACAGGUCUUCGGAUGCUGACGAGUGGCGAACGGGUGAGUAAUACAUCGGAACGUGCCUAGUAGUGGGGGAUAACUACUCGAAAGAGUGGCUAAUACCGCAUGAGAUCUACGGAUGAAAGCAGGGGAUCGAAAGACCUUGUGCUACUAGAGCGGCCGAUGGCAGAUAAGGUAGUUGGUGGGAUAAAAGCUUACCAAGCCGACGAUCUGUAGCUGGUCUGAGAGGACGAUCAGCCACACUGGGACUGAGACACGGCCCAGACUCCUACGGGAGGCAGCAGUGGGGAAUUUUGGACAAUGGGCGAAAGCCUGAUCCAGCAAUGCCGCGUGCAGGAUGAAGGCCUUCGGGUUGUAAACUGCUUUUGUACGGAACGAAAAGCCCCGGGUUAAUACCCUGGGGUCAUGACGGUACCGUAAGAAUAAGCACCGGCUAACUACGUGCCAGCCGCCGCGGUAA
rnacentral:rRNA from 1 species